ensembl:lncRNA
AAAUUCUGAUGCCUGAGAAUGCCAGAUGGCAUCCCAGGUGAGAUGGGAGCUGUAGGCAUGUAGUUCAGGUAGCCAUCAGCACCAAGGUACAUAUCUGCAGGAUGUGGGUAUGAGAAGUGCCAGCCCAGGUCUGCUUCUGCUGCUUCAGUGUUGACUAGGCAUACUAAAAACUUCUUUGUGGUAAGGAAUGUCCUCUCUUCUCAUCAUUUUGGUACAUUUCUGCAGCCUCUCUGGGUUUGUAUGAUGCAUGUCUGAAAAGGAAACAGGAAGGAGCUGCAAAUGGAAAUUUCAAGCUGUCAGCAACAGAGCAAACCCCAAUCAACUUCCCAUAGCCAGAGCGUAAAACCCAGGCUGUGCACUUCAGCUUCAAGUGACAGAAGAUGCUGAAUUUUACACAGUGUCUUCGGAAAUCAGCAAGUGCUGGAGAUGAAAAAAAUGUCUUUGUCUUGGUUCUAGCUGCCCCAGGAGAGGGCCCAGCUUCCAGCAUCCCUCGGCACAGCUCUGCCUGUUGCCUGUGAGCCCUCCCUGAGAUGCUGCUCCUUAGGCUGGCCACCUUUUUUUGUGUGGAGGUGGCUGUGGGAGAGGAGCUUGCCAGGUAUAAAAGCUCUGCUGUGCCGUUUGCUGAUGGGGGAGAGAACACUCCGUGGUCUGUUUUGUUCACAACAUAAAUCACAGUGUCACAUUUGUCUUUGGCUUUAUUAGAAAUGUACCAGGGAGUUUUAGCCCAUAACUGUAUAUAUGCAUGUCCAGCUGCUAUGAAAAUGCAUGUGAAUAGAACAGGAGAAAAGAGCUAUGAUAUGAGAGCCGAAUACCUGUAUUGUCAAAUAUUUCUGUGCGUACACCAUCACCCCAAUCCAGAACUGGUCACCACAAACAGUGCAUGGAAGAGUACAGAAUUUAUUCUGAUCUCUAGUUAAUCAGUUUCUCACCCAAGGAUGAGUGUGUGACCUUUUUCUAGGAAAGAGCCAUUCCUACCAGCUAUAUAAUUUCACAGAUCCACAAAACAAACAUGUUGCCAUUUUGCGAAACCCUCAUACCUAUGGCAUUCUCAUAUCCUGUGAGGUGUGGAUUUCAGGUGAGCGCUGCUGCAUUCUUUGAUUUCUUUGCUAGGCUGAAGGAGCAUGUACAAUGCAUGUGUAUCUGUAAGCUGAUAUAAAUCCAACUGAGACUAAAAAAAUUAGCAGUGAAAUUGUGCAAGUUUUGCAGACUUAGUGUCCCACACAGGUGGUUGUUAUGCUGGUCUGCAUUCAUACGGGUGAGGGCUUCCUUAUAUGCAGUGUAAGGAUGAGUGAAAGUGUGAUUGUCCCAUAGUACUGACAGAUUUAAAACAUUAUUUUCUAGAGCCAUGAACUCUAGACUUGGUAGAAUGGACAGAGAGAGGAUAAUUUUCCUUGAAAAGACUGGGUAGCUGAAUAGGGAUUCUUUUAAAUAGGAUGAAAGUAAGAGAGCAAGGGGUGCAGAUCAUCAGUGCUUCACAGUUGGAAAAAAGAGUGUGAGCAUUUUCAGUCUGUGGGGAGAUGAAUGGAGAGAGAAAGCAAGUCCAGAAUAUGUGAAGGUAGAAUCUUCAUAAGGCCUUGCUGCAGGGCUUGUUUUCUGUGCUAGUGGUUUGGGGAACUGGUAAAACUGGACUGGGACAUUAAAGGCUGUAAUCCCAAUUCAUCAUUUAUAGCCUGCCCGUGUCCAGGCAGACAUGUCCAUCCCAGCCUUCUCAGAUAUAGUGAAUUGCUGUAUUUCACAAUCAUGGGAAGGGCUUCCCAGCUGCACAAUCCAAACGUUUUGAAGUGACACAUGGUGCAUUAUAUUAACUUGGUUCAGACAACCAGCUUUAAACAUCUGAAUCUGAUUUCUUGAUGCUGAUUCCUCUUGCUCAAUCUUUAUUUCAGCUGUGUGGAAUUCUCAGACCUUUCUGACCUUGAC